UCUCCAUCCAAACCCAAAAAGAAAAAACCAGGACCACCCAUUUGUCGGACACCGCCACCCAACCCACCGUCUACUGCUGCCUCGACUGUCACCAUCCAUCUGGUUACAGAAGGCUGACUUCUGGCUCGAGAGUAGCUCUCAAAAAGGAGAAAAAAAAGGAACAAACACAAAUGAGAUUUUGACAGUCUUGUCCCAUUUCUUGCUUAUCUAUCCAUUUGAAUCCCAUUUCGACUGUCUAGAAGCUCUCCGAUUCAUUGGUUCUGUCAACUCCUACUUUAAUAGACUUAAAGGACUUUGGGAGGAACUCAAAAAUUAUAGGCCAAAUGUCAAUAAUACUGAUUAUAAAUUUGAGGAUCAGAUUAAGCAAUUUCUCAUGGGGUUAGAUGAACAAUUCUCUAAUGUGAGGAGUCAGAUCUUGCUGAUGGAUCCACUGCCUUCACUCAAUAAGGUAUUUCUUUAAUUCUGCAAGAUGAAAGACAACAAGAUGUUGUGGCUAAGAAACAACAAAAUUUUGAUGCUGCUAUAUUUGCUAGUAAAAUGAUCCACAGCUCUUUUGGUAAUUAAAGAACCAACUCGUUUAACCAAUUGUAGAAAAAAGGAUAGGCCUAUAUGCAGUUACUAUGGAAUGCUUGGACACCUUAAAAGUAAAUGCUGCAAGCUGAGUGGCUACCCUCCUGGUCAUAGACUGGCUAAAGGGAAAGCUCCAGUUGCUAUUGAUGUUAGUUCAGUACCUCACAACACAAGUUCAGACAAAAUAAGUUCCUUGUCAAACGUCACUAUUACUCCAGGACAAUAUCAACAAAUCUAGGCCAUGCUAGCUCCACAACUACAAGGACAUAUCUCUGUUGGAAAUCAGCAAACUCAAGAAUUGAUUUCUUCAUCUCCUCAAGUGCCUACUGCAUUUGUUUUCUCAAGUAGAUUGCAUAUGUUUUAAUGUUUCCACAGUUGCUGAUAAGUGGAUUAUGGAUACAGGAGCCUCAGAACAUAUAGUCUGUUCCAUUAACGACUUAACAACCAUGAUAGCAAAAAUUGAAGCAUCUAUGAGAUUACCAAAUGGUGAAGUUGCUACAGCCACACAUUUUGGUACAGUGAAGUUGUUUGACACUUUAAUUUUGACAAAAGUCCUAGUUGUGCCUUGUUUCCAGUUUAAUUUGAUUUCUGCUAGCAAGUUGAUACUUCAGCACAGAUGUUGUAUAAUAUUCAUGGAUCAUCAUUGUUUUAUACAGGAUCUUUCAACAUGGAGGACGAUUGGGAUAUAUAGG
rnacentral:lncRNA from 1 species